rnacentral:rRNA from 1 species
AUUGAACGCUGGCGGCAGGCCUAACACAUGCAAGUCGAACGAGUGGCGGACGGGUGAGUAAUGUCUGGGAAACGGCCCGAUGGAGGGGGGUAACUAAUGGAAACGGUAGCUAAUACCGCAUACCAUCGGAUGUGCCCAGAUGGGAUUAGCUAGUGGGUGGGGUAACGGCUCACCUAGGCGACGAUCCAUAGCUGGUCUGAGAGGAUGACCGGCCACACUGGAACUGAGACACGGUCCAGACUCCUACGGGAGGCAGCAGUGGGGAAUAUUGCACAAUGGGCGAAAGCCUGAUCGAGCCAUGCCGCGUGUAUGAAGAAGGUCUUCGGGUCGUAAAGUACUUUCAGCGAGGAGGCGGUACUCGCAGAAGAAGCCACGGCUAACUACGUGCCAGCAGCCGCGGUAAUUC